rnacentral:rRNA from 1 species
AAUGAACGCUAGCGGCAGGCCUAACACAUGCAAGUCGAGGGGUAACUAGAGUGAUAGCAAUAUUACUUUGGCUAGACCGGCGCACGGGUGCGUAACACGUAUGCAACCUACCUUAUACUGGGGAAUAACUUCGAGAAAUCGGCGCUAAUACCCCAUAACAUUGCGAAGAGGCAUCUCUUUGCAAUUAAAGCUCCGGCGGUAUAAGAUGGGCAUGCGUCCAAUUAGCUAGUUGGUGAGGUAACGGCUCACCAAGUCUACGAUUGGUAGGGGUUCUGGGAGGAUGAUCCCCCAAACUGGUACUGAGACACGGACCAGACUCCUACGGGAGGCAGCAGUGAGGAAUAUUGCGCAAUGGACGAAAGUCUGACGCAGCCAUGCCGCGUGCAGGAUGACGGCCCUAUGGGUUGUAAACUGCUUUUGUACGGGAAUAAACCCUUCUACGUGUAGGAGGCUGAAGGUACCGUAAGAAUAAGCACCGGCUAACUCCGUGCCAGCCGCCGCCGUAAAAC